rnacentral:rRNA from 1 species
AUUGGAGGGCAAGUCUGGUGCCAGCAGCCGCGGUAAUUCCAGCUCCAAUAGCGUAUAUUAAAGUUGUUGCAGUUAAAAAGCUCGUAGUUGGAUUUCUGUUAAUAAUUUAUAUAUAAUAUUUUAUUAAUAUUUAUAUAGUAUUAACAUAAUUCAUAUUACUAUAUUUUAUAGUAUAUGAAAUUUUACUUUGAGAAAAUUAGAGUGCUUAAAGCAGGCAUUAGCCUUGAAUACUCCAGCAUGGAAUAAUAUAAAAGAUUUUUAUCUUUUUUAUUGGUUCUAAGAUAAAAAUAAUGAUUAAUAGGGACAGUUGGGGGCAUUUGUAUUUAACAGUCAGAGGUGAAAUUCUUAGAUUUGUUAAAGACAAACUAGUGCGAAAGCAUUUGCCAAGGAUGUUUUCAUUAAUCAAGAACGAAAGUUAGGGGAUCGAAGACGAUCAGAUACCGUCGUAGUCUUAACCAUAAACUAUGCCAACUAGAGAUUGGAGGUUGUUCCUUACUCCUUC